CCCUGUCAUUAAAGCCCCGUGUUGUAACAAGCAGCCUUCCCCCGCGCUGAUGUGCGUGCGCUCAGGUGACGUUAACUCCUAGGUAGGCUAUCAUUUCUUUCCCCUAAUCGCCCACGCUGAAAUGGGGUGGGCGUGAGGUCGCGCGUUCCCCGCUAAACGAGGAGAUGACUGACGGAAAAUGGCUCGAGAUCAGGGAGUCGCGGCAGAGGAAUGCCUCCCUCGCGCGCACACUCAUCAGCUUUCAGGACGUUUGAGGGGGGAACAUGGAGGAGGCUCCACAGGUUAUCAUACGAGAUAUACAUCCCAACCGUAAUUGCGCACCUCGGCGCUUGAAGUCAAGGCCAACAACUCAAAAAGUAUAAAUUCCACACAAGAUGUUUUUUUUAAAAACUCAUGUUAAUGGGUGACUCGCUUUGCUUCCUACCCUGCCAUACGGAGACAAGGGCGAGUCGGUGCGCUCUGCCAGUCUUGCGCGACUGUAACUUUAAGAAUGUAAGGUAGAAGAAGCCCCCUUACUGACGCACGCCCGGUAUGCAAACACAAAUUUAGCAACAACGUGCUCCUCUCCUCGGGCACACAAAACGGUGGAACCAAAUAUGAAGAGUCGUGUUGACAUCAGUGACUUUUUGCCAGCUGCCAUACGGACCUGACAAGAAACAGAGAGAGGGAGAGAAAAGGAGAGAGAGAGAGAGAGGGUAACACGCCUCUGCCGUUCGGUCCGAUCGGUGCACAGUACAUCAGCACGCAGUUGCGCUUCUGUCAGAACGCUGCACGGAGGAACUGUCAACCGAGACAGCAAACACGGAACAUGAACGGCAGAGCGGGAAGACUUCUCCUUGGGAUCGCGUUGAGUUUCCUGGGGCAGGUGCACGGCAACCAUGGAGAGGCAGUCUUCCUCCGAGAGUUCACUCUCAGUCGCCUUGACGACUAUCCCGACGAUGUGUUUCAGGAAGCCACCGGGAGUCACAAGCCUGAAGACCCUGUGAGUACCCAUGUUGAACUCUACACUAAAUCCCAUGUUGAAACAUGUU
rnacentral:lncRNA from 1 species